UACGUAGGUGGCAAGCGUUAUCCGGAAUUAUUGGGCGUAAAGAGCGCGCAGGUGGUUAAUUAAGUCUGAUGUGAAAGCCCACGGCUUAACCGUGGAGGGUCAUUGGAAACUGGUAGACUUGAGUGCAGGAGAGGAGAGUGGAAUUCCAUGUGUAGCGGUGAAAUGCGUAGAUAUAUGGAGGAACACCGGUGGCGAAGGCGGCUCUCUGGACUGUAACUGACACUGAGGCACGAAAGCGUGGGGAGCAAACAGG
rnacentral:rRNA from 1 species